AGAAUGAACGUUGGCGGCGUGGAUUAGGCAUGCAAGUCGAACGGACCUUGCUUGCAAGGUCAGUGGCGCAAGGGUGAGUAAGGCGACGGUAACCAACCCCAUGGUCGGGUAUAGCCGCGGGAAACCGCGGGUAAUCCCCAGCGACGUGGCCGGCCGGCAUCGGCGGGCCACCAAAGCUCCGGCGCCGUGGGACGGGCCGUCGUGGUAUUAGCUUGUUGGCGGGGUAACGGCCCACCAAGGCGGCGAUGCCUACCGGGCGUGCGAGCGUGGCCCGGCACACUGGGACUGAGACACUGCCCAGACUCCUACGGGAGGCUGCAGUCGAGAAUCUUCGGCAAUGGGCGCAAGCCUGACCGAGCGACGCCGCGUGGAGGACGAAGGCCUUCGGGUUGUAAACUCCUGUCGAGGGGGAAGAAGGGAGUAACACCCUUGACUGAUCCCUGGAGGAAGCACGGGCUAAGUUCGUGCCAGCAGCCGC
rnacentral:rRNA from 1 species